AGUGGAACGAAUGAUUUUUUAUUCAUUCUUCUUCAAAAUAUUUUGGAAUAAUGUUAUAUCUAUAUGUACCAUAAUAUUGCUUCCUUUUUCAAAAUUUGUUUUCUUAGGUAAAUAAUUCAAUUCUACUUAAUUAUUUUAUUUGAAUGUGAUAUUUAAUUGUCGAAGAUUGUAUGUGUAUAUAUAUAUAUAUAUUUUUUAGUUUAGAAGAAGGAAGCAGUAAAAAUUAUCUAUUUCUUAAGAAUUGGUUGGUGAUAAAAAUAUUGCUUACGGCUAUUAUAUUUUUGAUCGAGUUACUAAAAAUAGGGAGAGAACAGGAGGGAUCCUUGAAACACGCAAUUAGGCUAUAAAUGUCCGAUCUACGUAACAACCAAGGCAUUUCGUUGUAAACAGUUUAAAGUAUCUUUGAAAAGAUAGGAAAUGGCUAAUAUAUUAGAUCCUUUGAUCCGAAGAAUUCAAGGUUUUAGCGAAUCUAGCAAUCGUCGAAAUCUCAUCCGAUGAUGCAAUACGAUGCAAAAUUAAGUGGGAAGCAGAAGUUGGAACGCUUCAAGAGUCUACGAAGAAAUCGUUCGAGCAAUGGUAAACUAUUGAACUACGACACGAGGAAAGAAACGAGGAGAAUCUUUGGAGGGGAAGUGAUCGCUGGUGAAAAGGUGAAACGUCGAGCAGUGAUCGAUUUCGGGGACAGUGAGACGCGAGAAAGUUCAGUGACCAUAAGGAAUAUUAGUGCCAAUCCUGACGAGAAACGAAAGUGUCGUAGACGGUUCUCUGGCUAUCGAAUUGCUCGUGUACGAAAAUAGUCGUAAAUAUCGGCCCUAAAUGACGAUCGUGCCACGCAAGAGUGACAUCUUCGAAACGAAUUCACAAAGCGUCCCCGUCGAAUAUCUCAUCGACGUUCAUCCGGAUCUUCUUAUGGAUCGUUCUCUACCUCGAUUAUUCAAAUAUCGUGGAUUCGACGAAAAAUACAAGAGAAAGAAAGGAAAUGUAGAAGAAUCAGGAAUCGUGCACUCGUCCAUACAGUCAAGAACAACGUAGAGACAAGUGCACGCUCCUUGGUUCCUUGAUUGAAAACGAUCACGAUGGACGGUCGCUGAGAACGAAGAUCCUUCUGUACCCUACGUGGGUCAGCCCGUUUCAGAGGCUGUCCGUCUUUCUGAAAUACCUUCCGAGCGUCGGCCUGUUGGGUAUUUUCGUCGGCCGAUUACG